ensembl:lncRNA SNHG11 small nucleolar RNA host gene 11
GGGGAGCUGAGAGGUGAGAUGAGAAUGGCACUGUGGGUCCCCAGAUCCGCUGUCCACCCAGCCAACCCAGAUCACCUCUGGCCUUUCCUGUGCCUUCCGGGCUUGCUGCUGGGGGGAAACCUCCAGAGUCCCACUUUGGUAAUAAGAGGUCUCUGCCCUUUCUCCCUGGGCAGCAGGAUGUUGUAAUGGAAAAUGAGUGGACCUAGGCUUCAGAGACUCUGGUCCCCUGGCUUUGAAUCCCCUUCUGCCACUAUCCCAGUCAAGGACUGAUUCAGAACCUAAUUUUCUUCAUUUGGAAAAUAAUGUUCUGAUAGAGGUGACUUUUGUGGUACUUGAGACCAUAUGAUUCCUAUCAUUACCAACCAAUAUUUUCCGAUUGUUUUUGCCCCAUGUGACUUCUCUGUGAUUCCUCCUGGCAAGGAAGUUUUACAGGAAAGCAGGGCCACUUUUGGGAUCCUGUGCUGGGCUGGAUCAUUUUCCUGGACUGGACCUAGUCCACAAGCUGCUGGCAUCUGUUUCUCCUCAUGGAUCUCUCUCUGCCCUUGUAUACACCUGCAUUCAAAAAUGAUCACGGGCUGCCUGUGCUCUGGUCAUCAAUAACGCAGGGAGAGGAAUUGCUGAAAGCCGUUUCCCGUGUUUGGAGGGUUCACACCUGUCCCUUUCAAAUGCUGGCGCUUUCACACACUCCUUCUCUCCUGCCAGCACCUUCUGGUCUCAGGAGCAUUGCAGGAUGUUGUCUUGAAGAAAGACGACAGAACACUGGAGACCAAGUACUUACAGCCUUCUGCUCUGUGGCCCCUCCUCACUCCAGGGAUGCUGCCUUGGGUCUGGAAACUGUUAGAGGAAACCCCAAGAGGUGCAGGCACUGAGCCUCUCAGGACAAUGACCUGGGGUCCCAGCUCCCCUGGAGGGGCCUCCUCAUGAUUGUUUGGGGGUUGAUCACAGACCAAGAGUGACGAGUGAUGUCACCCUGUGACUCAUGGCUGGACCUUCUUGCCCCUAUUGUCUCAGCACAACAUUAUUCGACUUUUCCCUCAGCGUGGGUGGGCAGAGGAAAAGCCCUGUGGCUCUGGGGACUUGGGAUCCAGAGUUGAAGACCCUUCAGCUGGCUCUGCCCUGCCAGUGCCACAGAGUGCCAUGGCCCAGGAAGACAGGUUUUCUUCCAUCUAGGCCAGGCCAUCCAGUGGCCAUCCUCCGUGUCCUCCCGCCUCCUCCUGGUGUGACUUCUGAAAACCAAGAAUUUGUUCCUGUUGACUUUUUCUGUGCUAUGGACCAUUGUCCUCUCACCCACUCAAUAAAUCUUGAAACAUGC